rnacentral:rRNA from 1 species
AUGAUUUUCUUGCUGCUAAUCAAUAGUCAUGAUGCAUACCUUGAUGUUGGGCAGGGUCAUGAAGUUCUUGGAGAGAUGGACAACAAGCUUGUCCAUGAAAGCAGGAGCGAUGUAGAAGCCUCCCAUGGUGUUGUCGAAGUCGUACUUCUUGAGUCCCUGGCUGACGUACUCGUAGGAGCUGAGGACGGCCUCGUGGGUGCCGUCGCCCGUGGGCGCCUGGAAGAGGGAGUCCACGAUGCCCUUCCCUCUGGUGAUGUCCUGCUGGUCGUCGGAGAUAUCGUAGGCAAGACCCUUCCACUUGUCUGUGUUCCUCUUCUCGUCGAUGUUUUCCGCUGCCAUGACUGUGAACCUGUUGGCCUUGGAGCUCUUGCCAUGGUAGUUCACGGCCGAGGUCACCUGCUUCUUGAGCUUCUUCCCGAGGAAGUUGGUCGGCGUAGAAGCCUGUAUACAUUACACACACACACACAUGAGACGCCGUUGAAGACAUUGAUACGAUAUCAUCACUAA